UGAACGCACAUUGCGCCCAUUAGUAUUCUAGUGGGCAUGCCUGUUCGAGCGUCAUUUCAACCCUUAAGCCCACUGUUGCUUAGCGUUGGGAGCCUACAGCCUGCUGUAGCUCCUUAAAGGUAGUGGCGGAGUCGGUUCACACUCUAGACGUAGUAAAAUCUUUAUCUCGCCUAUAGAUGAGCCGGCGCCUUGCCGUAAAACCCCUAAUCUUUCACAAGGUUGACCUCGGAUCAGGUAGGAAUACCCGCUGAACUUAAGCAUAUCAAUAAGCGGAGGAAAAGAAACCAACAGGGAUUGCCCUAGUAACGGCGAGUGAAGCGGCAACAGCUCAAAUUUGAAAUCUGGCCUUCGGGUCCGAGUUGUAAUUUGCAGAGGAUGCUUUGGGCGCGGUGCCUUCCGAGUUCCCUGGAACGGGACGCCUUAGAGGGUGAGAGCCCCGUACGGUUGGACACCAAGCCUCUGUAAAGCUCCUUCGACGAGUCGAGUAGUUUGGGAAUGCUGCUCUAAAUGGGAGGUAAAUUUCUUCUAAAGCUAAAUAUUGGCCAGAGACCGAUAGCGCACAAGUAGAGUGAUCGAAAGAUGAAAAGCACUUUGAAAAGAGGGUUAAAUAGCACGUGAAAUUGUUGAAAGGGAAGCGUUUGCGACCAGACCUUUUCCCAGCGGAUCAUCCGGUGUUCUCACCGGUGCACUUCGCUGGGUUGAGGCCAGCAUCGGUUUCCGCAGGGGGAUAAAAGCUUGGGGAACGUAGCUCCCUCGGGAGUGUUAUAGCCCCUCGCAUAAUACCCUUGCGGGGACCGAGGACCGCGCU
rnacentral:rRNA from 1 species